GAUGAACGCUGACAGAAUGCUUAACACAUGCAAGUCUUUGGUGAAGCUGUGCUUGCACAGCCUAGCCAAGGCGGACGGGUGAGUAACGCGUAAGGAACUUGCCCUGCAGUCAGGGAUAACAGACGGAAACGACUGAUAAGACCUGGUAAAGUCAGGCGGACUCAUGUCCAGCCUGAUGAAAAGAGAUGCUGCAGGAGAGCCUUGCGUCCUAUUAGCUUGUUGGUGGGGUAACGGCCCACCAAGGCAAUGAUAGGUAGCCGGCCUGAGAGGGUGGACGGCCACAAGGGGACUGAGAUACGGCCCUUACUCCUACGGGAGGCAGCAGUGGGGAAUAUUGGACAAGGGGGGCAACCCUGAUCCAGCAAUUCUGUGUGCACGAUGAAGGUUUUCGGAUUGUAAAGUGCUUUCAGAAGGGAAGAAAAAAAUGACGGUACCUGCAGAAGAAGCGAGGGCUAAAUACGUG
rnacentral:rRNA from 1 species